rnacentral:rRNA from 1 species
UACGUAGGGUGCGAGCGUUAAUCGGAAUUACUGGGCGUAAAGCGUGCGCAGGCGGUUUUGUAAGCCAGAUGUGAAAGCCCCGGGCUUAACCUGGGAAUGGCAUUUGGGACUGCAAGGCUUGAGUGCGGCAGAGGAGACUGGAAUUCCUGGUGUAGCAGUGAAAUGCGUAGAUAUCGUAAGGAAGACCAGUGGCGAAGGCGGGUCUCGUGGACAGUUCCUGACGCUGAGGAGCGAAAGCGUGGGGAGCGAACAGG